ensembl:snRNA U6 U6 spliceosomal RNA
GUACUUGCUUAGGCAGCUCGUAUACUAACCUCAGAACAAUGCAAAGAUUAGAACAGUCUCUGUGCAAGGAUGACAUGUGAAUUCGUGAAGCAUUCCAUGUUUUU